GAAGGUGGCCUGUGAGGGUUGCUGGAGGUAUCAGAAGUGCGAAUGCUGACAUAAGUAACGAUAAAGCGGGUGAAAAGCCCGCUCGCCGGAAGACCAAGGGUUCCUGUCCAACGUUAAUCGGGGCAGGGUGAGUCGACCCCUAAGGCGAGGCCGAAAGGCGUAGUCGAUGGGAAACGGGUUAAUAUUCCCGUACUUGGUGUUACUGCGAAGGGGGGACGGAGAAGGCUAUGUUGGCCGGGCGACGGUUGUCCCGGUUUAAGCGUGUAGGUGUGUGUUCCAGGUAAAUCCGGAACAUCAAGGCUGAGGCGUGACGACGAGGCACUACGGUGCUGAAGCAACAAAUGCCCUGCUUCCAGGAAAAGCCUCUAAGCAUCAGGUAACAUCAAAUCGUACCCCAAACCGACACAGGUGGUCAGGUAGAGAAUACCAAGGCGCUUGAGAGAACUCGGGUGAAGGAACUAGGCAAAAUGGUGCCGUAACUUCGGGAGAAGGCACGCUGACAUGUAGGUGAAGUGAUUUACUCAUGGAGCUGAAGUCAGUCGAAGAUACCAGCUGGCUGCAACUGUUUAUUAAAAACACAGCACUGUGCAAACACGAAAGUGGACGUAUACGGUGUGACGCCUGCCCGGUGCCGGAAGGUUAAUUGAUGGGGUCAGCGCAAGCGAAGCUCCUGAUCGAAGCCCCGGUAAACGGCGGCCGUAACUAUAACGGUCCUAAGGUAGCGAAAUUCCUUGUCGGGUAAGUUCCGACCUGCACGAAUGGCGUAAUGAUGGCCAGGCUGUCUCCACCCGAGACUCAGUGAAAUUGAACUCGCUGUGAAGAUGCAGUGUACCCGCGGCAAGACGGAAAGACCCCGUGAACCUUUACUAUAGCUUGACACUGAACAUUGAGCCUUGAUGUGUAGGAUAGGUGGGAGGCUUUGAAGUGUGGACGCCAGUCUGCAUGGAGCCGACCUUGAAAUACCACCCUUUAAUGUUUGAUGUUCUAACGUGGACCCGUAAUCCGGGUUGCGGACAGUGUCUGGUGGGUAGUUUGACUGGGGCGGUCUCCUCCUAAAGAGUAACGGAGGAGCACGAAGGUUGGCUAAUCCUGGUCGGACAUCAGGAGGUUAGUGCAAUGGCAUAAGCCAGCUUGACUGCGAGCGUGACGGCGCGAGCAGGUGCGAAAGCAGGUCAUAGUGAUCCGGUGGUUCUGAAUGGAAGGGCCAUCGCUCAACGGAUAAAAGGUACUCCGGGGAUAACAGGCUGAUACCGCCCAAGAGUUCAUAUCGACGGCGGUGUUUGGCACCUCGAUGUCGGCUCAUCACAUCCUGGGGCUGAAGUAGGUCCCAAGGGUAUGGCUGUUCGCCAUUUAAAGUGGUACGCGAGCUGGGUUUAGAACGUCGUGAGACAGUUCGGUCCCUAUCUGCCGUGGGCGCUGGAGAACUGAGGGGGGCUGCUCCUAGUACGAGAGGACCGGAGUGGACGCAUCACUGGUGUUCGGGUUGUCAUGCCAAUGGCACUGCCCGGUAGCUAAAUGCGGAAGAGAUAAGUGCUGAAAGCAUCUAAGCACGAAACUUGCCCCGAGAUGAGUUCUCCCUGAGACUUAGAGUCUCCUGAAGGAACGUUGAAGACGACGACGUUGAUAGGCCGGGUGUGUAAGCGCAGCGAUGCGUUGAGCUAACCGGUACUAAUGAACCGUGAGGCUUAACCUUACAACGCCGAAG
rnacentral:rRNA from 2 species